AUGGAUGCGACGGCGAUGACGGUAGGAGGGCACCUUGCAGCUGCCAGCCUUGCCCUCAUGAGGAGGAGGAUGGGCGCACAUAGCCACCAAUGGUUGUGCUCCUCAUCUUCCAAGGUGAGUGAUCAAGGGGACCGAGCUAGACGAGUCCAGCUCGGCCACCACGACGCAACGCUCCCAGCAGUGGGCACCCGGCUCCAUGGACGAGGAGGACGGCUAGGACCCCAAGUCCAAGCCGACGAUUCUGACCUCGACUCCCCACCCAAGCCGGAGCAGAAGCUGAUCGUCGUGUGCCAGGUGGCUGACCCGCACCAGUAUUCCUGCUUCUACUGGCUCCCAAGAGCGCAUCCAUGUGUACGCUCUUACUGCCAACCCGACUGGCUACCUCCCGCCUCACGCAUAGGAUGGAGAGCAUAA
rnacentral:rRNA from 1 species